rnacentral:rRNA from 1 species
CGGGUGAGUAACACGUGAGUAACCUGCCUUACACAAGGGGAUAGCCUUUGGAAACGAAGAAUAAUACCCUAUAAAGUCAAAAUAUCGCAUGAUAUAGUGACCAAAGAUUUAUCGGUGUAAGAUGGACUUGCGUCUGAUUAGCUAGUUGGUGAGAUAAAAGCUCACCAAGGCGACGAUCAGUAGCCGGCUUGAGAGAGUGUACGGCCACAUUGGGACUGAGACACGGCCCAG